rnacentral:misc_RNA from 1 species
ACUGGUGUGAUCACUAUACAACUGUAGAUUCAGUUUUAAUGUAUUAGCAUAAAUAUAGAUAAAGAUAUAUCAAUGCCAAUAAAAAGUAAAUAACAGGCAAGUUGCAGAAACAUCAAAUAUUAAGUUUUUAUCAACUGAAUAUGAGUCUACAAGUUACACCAACGUAAAAGCUCCAUAACUUUAAACAGUUGGUGCCUAAUCUUAAGCAUAGAUCCACUAAAUUAAACUCAGAAAGGAAAUGAACAAACCUUUAAGGUAUCCCAAUAUUUACCAUGUCAAAAUCUAUAGUUCCUAAGAAAAAAACUGAAACUCUACUUCAAUGCACACCACUGUUGGGGGGGGGGGGGGGGG